ensembl:lncRNA
CGCCACGGUCCAAGGUACACAGAAUUCUUCAUCUCUCUGACAUUCACCAUUCAUAUCCAAUUCCCCCACGCUGACUUCCUUUCGUGGGAUGAAGUCCAGAGUUAUGCUGCUUUUAAUUGGGAGAAGGAGAUGAAGUCCGAAAGAGGUUUAAAUGAAGUCAUGAAGAAUUUUUCCUGGGGAAAGAAGUUGGCGUGCAAGACUCCAGACAUGCUGCAACACCAAAACAAAAUGCCAAAACAGGUUUCAGAAAAUUCAUCGGGCAUUGUGAGCACCAGACCUUGUUCAUCACUCAGUGAGGUUCCAACUUACAUCCAGUCCAGGCCAAGGCACCGGGGGGAAAACUGAUGAGUUCUGGUGAGAGCCAGACCAGGCAGCUCGGUGACUCAUAUUUGGCCCAUUUUCCUCUUCUACGCUCCACUUUGUAGGAAGUGUUGUGUAGACUCAAGCUCUAUAACCCAGUCUCAAUGCAUUCACUCUCUCGGCUCCUCCGUUGUGACUAAUACAUUUCGUAGUUGGCUUCAGAUCCUGAGCCAACAAGCAUCUCACGUGGAUUCCUGGUCAGCCGUGG